UUUUUUUCGGAAAACUUCGAAUACCACCUUAUGGUUUCACAGUUUCUCACUUUAGUAUCUUAUGGUUUAAAGUGUAUCAAUUUAGUAGUAUUUUGUAGUUUAAUUUUUAUCUUUUUAGUAUCGAUUUUACUAAUUUUUUCGUUAAAUUAGUGACAAAGUUACAUUAAAGAGUACUAAAGUGAAUAUUCGAUAAACCUAAGUAGGAUAUCUAAAGUUUUUUUGUAUAUAAUUUAACGAAAUAUUAACGAAAAAGCUGAUAAAAAGAUAAAAAUAAAACCACAGAACACUAAUUUGAUACACUUUAAACCACAAGGUACUAAAGUGAAAGAAUGUGAAACCAUAGGGGUGGUAUUUGAAGUUUACCCUUUUUUUUUGUUAUUGUUUUUGUUUUUUUUAAGCAACACUAUUAGGUUUUUUUUUUUAGAAAGAGAGUGAAAAUUUAUUUAAAUAAAAUGAGUCAAUACAUAAUUGAAAAAGUUCUCCAAAGAUAAUCACAUAGUACAUUUUUUGCUAGACAUAUUCCAAUUGGGUAGUUGAUCAGCUUGCAUAAUAUUCUCGGAGAAGCGAGAAUUCCAUCCAAAAGAGUAGAUGUGACAUUCGUCGACGAAGGAUUGAAGCGUUUUGAGCUUCAUUCUAGCGUCGCAAGUGAACGAUUCAGAUUGUUCACAUCUGAAGUGGAUAGCUUUAAUAAUUAAUAAUGAGUCCGAAAAUAUUCAAAUUCGUUCUCUUAGGAAGGUAUCCAACUAUCCAAGAAAAAUUUAGCUGCUUUCAAUACUACUUCAAUUUCAAUUGAUCAUGAAUAUUUUCAGCAAAAUUUGAAACGUACAGGCAAACACCUUGCUGAUUAGUAACGAGUACACUAAUUCCACCCGAAUCUUCCCCUUUCCAAAAAUUAGAGUGUACAUUUUAAACUCUAUCUAAAAAUCAUUAA
rnacentral:lncRNA from 1 species